rnacentral:rRNA from 1 species
CCCUUAGAUGUCCUGGGCUGCACGCGCGCUACACUGAAACUAGCAAAAAGUAUUCUCUGGUUUGAAAAAAUUGGGAAAACUAUUAAACAGUUUCGUGAUGGGAAUAGACUAUUGUAAUUAUUAGUCUUGAACGAGGAAUUCCUAGUAAGUACAAGUCAUCAGCUUGUGCUGAUUACGUCCCUGCCCUUUGUACACACCGCCCGUCGCUCCUACCGAUUGGGUGAUCCGGUGAAUAAUCUGGAGAUUAACAUCAAAAGUUUGUAAACCUUAUCACCUAGAGGAAGGAGAAGUCGUAACA